CGACCCUGUGAUUUUGACUGAAAUUACAUUAUCUCCUGAAACUUUAAAAUCUGGUAUGUUUUGUCUUAAGAGGGAGAUCAGCUGUUUAUUUUAGGAAGGGCCUUCUUAUGGAACUUUGUCUCUUAAGCACCAUGAAAUGAGAGACAUGGAUCUACCUUUUAGCAGCUAUCAGCAUAGCCCCCUUGCUCCUGUAUGCAGCCUCAAAACUCAGCAAAUUCACCAUGGGGAAACUGCGCUCUGACUCUUGAACAUGUCAAGUUCCUUAUCUGUUAUGCCAGCCAACUCAACCUCAGAAUCUCAUGCAUGGUUCUCUCUUUUCUUCCACAGAGUCUCUCUGAGUAAGUCAGGCACAAACUUUGGUCUAUACUGAGAAGUGGCAAAUACCCAUGGAGAAGAAAAUGACCAGCAACAUCAGCUCAUUCCAGAAAGGCCUUCUUUCAGAAUUGAAGUCCAUCAUUGCUUCUAUGGCUCUUAUAUAUUUAAAACAUUAUGUUUAUAACAUAUCUAGCCCUUUCUGCUUUUCAGCAGGAACACUGGUUUGAUGAAAUCUACUCAUUCUACUCAAAAAAUGGAAGGGCAUUUUUAUAUGGAUUCUCAUGGAAAAGAUGCUAUCUUGGAGAAGAUCCCAACUCUAUCCUCAUUGCCCAUCCCAAUAGACAUAGCAUUAUAAGCAGCAGUACUGUAAAGUGAUAAACUUUGUGGUGGACAAAAUCUACUAUGGCUCCCAAUGGUCUCUGCCUCCAGAUAAUUUGUAGCAGUUGCACUGGGGAACAGGCCCAUGGAGCUCCUGAUUUUUCAUGCUGGAAGUGGGACACUGCACGCCCUCUAUUUUUAACACUUAGGUUUUUGGAGCUUUGAUUAAUUUGGGCAGAGAAAGUAUAUUACACAGGUCAUUUCUUUACUUACCACAAGCAAAGGAAUAAAAGAUUCAAUAUUCUCAAUAAAAUGGAGAUUUAUUUUUUUCAUUUUCUGGUAGCAGCAGUUUCAUACACACACACACACACACACACACACACACACACACACACAAACACUCACUCACUUUGCAUUUCUCUUCCUGCUUCUAGCUCAGGACACAGUGGAUAGACCAAUAGUGAUGAGAGCGCUAGGGAGAACUAACACUCUAUGUUUCCUCCUUUUUUUUUUUUUUUUUUUUACUAUUUUUACUACUUUCCUAUUUUUGUUACAAUGUUUUAGUAACG
rnacentral:lncRNA from 10 species